AAGCGUUAUCCGGAAUCACUGGGCGUAAAGGGUGCGUAGGCGGCUUAGCAAGCCAGGGGUGAAAGGCAUUGGCUCAACCAAUGUAAGCCUUUGGAACUGUUAAGCUUGAGUGCAGGAGAGGUAAGUGGAAUUCCUAGUGUAGAGGUGAAAUUCGUAGAUAUUAGGAGGAACACCAGUGGCGAAGGCGACUUACUGGACUGUAACUGACGCUGAUGCACGAAAGCGUGGUAGCGAACAGGAUUAGAUACCCUGGUAG
rnacentral:rRNA from 1 species